rnacentral:rRNA from 1 species
AAUGCUGCUCUAAAUGGGAGGUAUAUGUCUUCUAAAGCUAAAUACCGGCCAGAGACCGAUAGCGCACAAGUAGAGUGAUCGAAAGAUGAAAAGCACUUUGAAAAGAGAGUUAAAAAGUACGUGAAAUUGUUGAAAGGGAAGCGUUUAUGACCAGACUUGGGCUUGGUUGAUCAUCUGGGGUUCUCCCCAGUGCACUCUUCCAGUCCAGGCCAGCAUCAGUUUUCGCCGGGGGAUAAAGACUUCG